AGAGUUUGAUCCUGGCUCAGGAUGAUUGCUGGCGGCGUGCUUAAUACAUGCAAGUUGAACGAAGUUAAUUGAAAGCUUGCUUUUGAUUAACUUAGUAGCGAACGGGUGAGUAAUACGUAGGUAAUCUACCCUAAUGACUGGGAUAGCCAUUGGAAACGAUGAUUAAUACCGGAUAGGUAAUCUUUAGAUGACUAGAGAUUAUUAAAGUUGGGUUUCCAACACUUUAGGAUGAGCUUACGGUGUAUUAGUUAGUUGGUGAGGUAAUGGCCCACCAAGACGAUGAUACAUAGCCGGCCCGAGAGGGUGAUCGGCCACAUUGGGACUGAGACACGGCCCAGACUCCUACGGGAGGCAGCAGUAAGGAAUUUUCGGCAAUGGGGGAAACCCUGACCGAGCAACGCCGCGUGAGUGAUGAAGGUCUUCGGAUCGUAAAGCUCUGUUGUAAAGGACGAAUGCUAUGGAUAGGAAAUGAUCUGUAGUUGACGGUACUUUAUUAGAAAGUCACGGCUUACUACGUGCCAGCAGCCGCGGUAAUACGUAGGUGGCAAGCGUUAUCCGGAUUUAUUGGGCGUAAAGGGUGCGCAGGCGGUUUGUUAGGUUCGGGGUGAAAGCGUUGGGCUCAACUCAAUUAAGCCUUGAAAACCGGCAAACUAGAGUGUAGAAGAGGGUAAUGGAACUCCAUGUGUAGCGGUAAAAUGCAUAGAUAUAUGGAAGAACACCAGUGGCGAAGGCGGUUACCUGGUCUACAACUGACGCUCAGGCACGAAAGCGUGGGGAGCAAAUAGGAUUAGAUACCCUAGUAGUCCACGCCCUAAACGAUGAGUACUAAAUGUGGGAGCAAUUCAGCGUUGUAGUUAACGCAAUAAGUACUCCGCCUGAGGAGUAUGCACGCAAGUGUGAAACUUAAAGGAAUUGACGGGGCCCCGCACAAGCGGUGGAGUAUGUGGUUUAAUUCGAAGCAACGCGAAGAACCUUACCAGGUCUUGACAUCCUGCUAACGAAGUAGAGAUACAUUAGGUGCCCUUCGGGGAAAGCAGAGACAGGUGGUGCAUGGUUGUCGUCAGCUCGUGUCGUGAGAUGUUGGGUUAAGUCCCGCAACGCGCGCAACCCCUAUUGUUAGUUGCUACGCAAGAGCACUCUAGCGAGACUGCCGUUGACAAAACGGAGGAAGGUGGGGACGACGUCAAAUCAUCAUGCCCCUUAUGACCUGGGCUACACACGUAAUACAAUGGCGGUCAACAAAGGGAUGCAAAGCCGCGAGGCAGAGCGAACCCCAAAAAGCCGUCCCAGUUCGGAUCGCAGGCUGCAACCCGCCUGCGUGAAGUCGGAAUCGCUAGUAAUCGUGGGUCAGCAUACCACGGUGAAUACGUUCCCGGGCCUUGUACACACCGCCCGUCAA
rnacentral:rRNA from 1 species